AGCGACUGUGCAGGUUACCGCGGCUGCUGGCACGGAGUUAGCCGGUGCUUCUUCUGUGAGUGAUGUCCUUCCUGCCGGUUAUUGACCCGCAGGCCUUCUUCCUCACUGAAAGUGCUUUACAACCCGAAGGCCUUCUUCACACACGCGGCAUGGCUGGAUCAGGGUUGCCCCCAUUGUCCAAUAUUCCCCACUGCUGCCUCCCGUAGGAGUCUGGGCCGUGUCUCAGUCCCAGUGUGGCUGAUCAUCCUCUCAGACCAGCUACGGAUCGUCGCCUUGGUGAGCCGUUACCUCACCAACCAGCUAAUCCGACAUAGGCUCAUCCGAUAGCGCGAGGCCCGAAGGUCCCCCGCUUUCCCCCGUAGGGCGUAUGCGGUAUUAGCCUGGGUUUCCCCAGGUUAUCCCCCACUACCCGGGCAGAUUCCUAUGCAUUACUCACCCGUCCGCCGCUCGCCACCAGGGAGCAAGCUCCCCGUGCUGCCGCUCGACUUGCAUGUGUUAGGCCUGCCGCCAGCGUUCAAU
rnacentral:rRNA from 1 species